rnacentral:ribozyme from 11 species
CUAGAAACCAACAAUGAAUUCGUGCCCAAAUACAAACAGAAUCCAUUUUUGCAUGUUCCUGGGUGUCCUUGUGAUGGUCUUUUUUCUUUUUUGAUUUGCUGUAAUUUUCCAAAAUGUAAUUU